AGCUACGCAGUUAAAGUUUGGUGGCGUCCAGCAACAACAUGGACUUGUGCGCGAAGCCGGUGUAGCGGUACUCCUCGUCCAGCGUCUCCAGCAGUGCGUGCUGCAGCGAGAAGGGCUUCUCCAGCAGGUUGAUGUCGUAGUAGUCGCCCACGGCGAUGUCCAGGUUCCGGUACUGCGUGGUGCUUUCGUUGAGGUAGCUGCCGACCAGCAGGUACUUGGCGCCGCUGUCUCGCACGUUGUGCAAGAAGGAGUGCACGUAGCUCAGCGGCAGAUGCUGCAGCGCGUCCCGGCUG
rnacentral:lncRNA from 1 species